rnacentral:sRNA from 1 species
CAUCACUACUCCUUCUUGCUUCCUUUUCGUUGCACUAUGUAAUGAAAGUACAUCAUGUACAUGUUACCGUACAGUGCGAUACUUUGAUCAAGACCACUUGCCGGGUUUGGUACACGCAGUAAUAGUGCCUACUACUAC